AAAAUCCGUCGACUUUUUUAGAAAUCGUGAGGGUUCAAGUCCCUCUAUCCCCA
rnacentral:tRNA from 1 species